GGCGAUUUCUGACCCUUCAGGACCAAGUUCCACAUCUGGAAAACGAAGGGAUUGUUGGGCCAGUUGGAGGAAGGGACGUGUUUGUACCAGCUCUGAAUUAAUUGCCAACCAUACAGCAACCAGGUCUUGUUACUCCAGAAUAAAACUAUCCCGAAAAUAAACGCUUUAAGCAAACAGAAUUGAUACAGUAA